UACGGGGGGAGCAAGCGUUGUUCGGAUUUCCUGGGCGUAAAGGGCGCGUAGGCGGUCGUGACAAGUCACUUGUGAAAUCUCCGGGCUUAACUCGGAACGGUCAAGUGAUACUGUCGGACUAGAGUACAGAAGGGGCAACUGGAAUUCUCGGUGUAGCGGUGAAAUGCGUAGAGAUCGGGAGGAACACCAGAGGCGAAGGCGGCGACCUGGACAAGUACUGACACUCAACUACGAAAGCGUGGGGAGCAAACAGG
rnacentral:rRNA from 1 species